ACUACGUGCCAGCAGCCGCGGUAAUACGUAGGUGGCAAGCGUUGUCCGGAAUUACUGGGCGUAAAGGGAGCGUAGGUGGAUAUUUAAGUGGGAUGUGAAAUACUCGGGCUUAACCUGGGUGCUGCAUUCCAAACUGGAUAUCUAGAGUGCAGGAGAGGAAAGUAGAAUUCCUAGUGUAGCGGUGAAAUGCGUAGAGAUUAGGAAGAAUACCAGUGGCGAAGGC
rnacentral:rRNA from 1 species